rnacentral:rRNA from 1 species
UGCGCAGGCGGGACUGCAAGUUGGAUGUGAAAUACCGGGGCUCAACCCCGGAGCUGCAUCCAAAACUGUAGUUCUUGAGUGAAGUAGAGGUAAGCGGAAUUCCGAGUGUAGCGGUGAAAUGCGUAGAUAUUCGGAGGAACACCAGUGGCGAAGGCGGCUUACUGGGCUUUAACUGACGCUGAGGCACGAAAGCAUGGGGAGCAAACA